CCAGACUCCUACGGGAGGCAGCAGUGGGGAAUAUUGCACAAUGGGCGCAAGCCUGAUGCAGCCAUGCCGCGUGAAUGAUGAAGGCCUUAGGGUUGUAAAAUUCUUUCGCCAAGGAUGAUAAUGACAGUACUUGGUAAAGAAGCCCCGGCUAACUUCGUGCCAGCAGCCGCGGUAAUACGAAGGGAGCGAGCGUUAUCCGGAUUGAUUGGGCGUAAAGGGUCCGUAGGCGGCCUUGAGUAGUCAAAAGUAAAAGGUUAAAGCUCAACUUUAAAAUUGCUUUUAAAAAAAACGUCAAGGCUUGAGUUUGAAAGAGGAUAGCAGAAUUUUAUAUGGAGGGGUGAAAUCCUAAGAUAUAUGAAGGAAUACCAACGGCGAAGGCAGCUAUCUGGGUCAAUACUGACGCUGAGGGACGAAAGCACGGGUAGCAAAAAGGAUUUGAUACCCUCUUAGUCCGUGCCGUAAACGAUGAGUGCUCGUGCUCAGACGUAAGAUUUGGGCACUUAGGUAACCCAUUAAGCACUCCGCCUGAGAAGUACGAUCGCAAGAUUGGAACUCAAAGGAAUUGGCGGGGGUUCAUACAAGUGGUGGAACAUGUGGUUUAAUGCGAUAAUCCGCGCGAAACCUUACCAGUUCUAGACAUUUUCUUUUUUUUUAA
rnacentral:rRNA from 14 species